rnacentral:rRNA from 1 species
AUUGAACGCUGGCGGCAGGCCUAACACAUGCAAGUCGAGCGGAGCGGCGGAGGGGUAAGUAAUGCCUAGGAAUCUGCCUGGUAGUGGGGGAUAACGUCCGGCAACGGGCGAUAAUACCGCAUACUAUCAGAUGAGCCUAGGUCGGAUUAGCUAGGUGGUGGGUUAAAGGCCUACAAAGGCGACGAUCCGUAACUGGUCUGAGAGGAUGAUCAGUCACACUGGAACUGAGACACGGCCCAGAUUCCUAGGGGAGGCAGCAGUGGGGAAUAUUCGAAAAUGGGCGAAAGCCUGCGCCAGACCUGCCGCGUAUGUGAAGCAGGUCUUCGGAUGGUAAAGUACGUUAAGCUGGGAGGCGUUACCAGAAGAAUAAGCACCGGCUAACUUCGUGCCAGCAGCCGCGGUAAUUC